rnacentral:rRNA from 1 species
UACGGAGGGAGCUAGCGUUGUUCGGAAAUACUGGGCGUAAAGCGCACGUAGGCGGCGCAGCAAGUCAGGGGUGAAAUCCCGGGGCUCAACCCCGGAACUGCCCUUGAAACUGCAGUGCUAGAAUCUUGGAGAGGUCAGUGGAAUUCCGAGUGUAGAGGUGAAAUUCGUAGAUAUUCGGAAGAACACCGGUGGCGAAGGCGGCCAACUGGACCAUUACUGACGCUGAGGCGCGAAAGCGUGGGGAGCAAACAGG